UACAGAGGGUGCGAGCGUUGUUCGGAAUUAUUGGGCGUAAAGCGCAUGUAGGCGGUCUGUUAAGUCGCGUGUGAAAGCUUCCAGCUCAACUGGAAAAGUGCGCGCGAAACUGGUGGACUUGAGUGCUGGAGAGGGUGGCGGAAUUCCCGGUGUAGAGGUGAAAUUCGUAGAUAUCGGGAGGAACACCAGAGGCGAAGGCGGCCACCUGGACAGACACUGACGCUGAGACGCGAAAGCGUGGGGAGCAAACAGG
rnacentral:rRNA from 1 species